rnacentral:rRNA from 1 species
AGUGAACGCUGGCGGUAGGCCUAACACAUGCAAGUCGAACGGCAGCACAGUAAGAGCUUGCUCUUACGGGUGGCGAGUGGCGGACGGGUGAGGCAUACAUCGGAAUCUACUUUUUCGUGGGGGAUAACGUAGGGAAACUUACGCUAAUACCGCAUACGACCUACGGGUGAAAGCAGGGGAUCUUCGGACCUUGCGCGAUUGAAUGAGCCGAUGUCGGAUUAGCUAGUAGGCGGGGUAAAGGCCCACCAAGGCGACGAUCCGUAGCUGGUCUGAGAGGAUGAUCAGCCACACUGGAACUGAGGCACGGUCCAGACUCCUACGGGAGGCAGCAGUGGGGAAUAUUGGACAAUGGGCGCAAGCCUGAUCCAGCCAUACCGCGUGGGUGAAGAAGGCCUUCGGGUCGUAAAGCCCUUUUGUUGGGAAAGAAAAGCAGCAGGUUAAUACCCCGCUGUUCUGACGGUACCCAAAGAAUAAGCACCGGCUAACUUCGUG